rnacentral:tRNA from 1 species
GCCUGUAGCUCAGCGGUUAGAGCAGAGGACUCAUAAUCCUUUGGUCCUGAGUUCAAAUCUCAGUGGG